GGGGGAAACAGGGUAUUUCCCAACGAGAGUACCUGUGGCCAAAAAUCUCAGAGACACUUAGACAAAAUAGUGCCUGCUCAUUGUCCCCAUUAGAGAACAAGCGAAGACAGGCGUCUUUGUGUAAUGUUGGAAUAAGACUGGGGACAGAUUCCAGAUCUUGCUUUUACUUGAUCAUGAAACAUCUUGGCUGAUUUUGGACCGGCUGUUAUCUCACCACUUAAUCUAUUUUAGGGAUGUUGUUGUUGUACGAAGUUUCUGGGUGUGUGCUGUGUGGUUGUGGCAGGCUGCAGUAUAUAGGCUGCCUUGAAUUCCCAGAGGAACAUGGGCUAUAAAUGCAACAAGUAUGCUUUUUAUGUUAAACGCUGAAAGGAUAUUGCUUCUAUGAUGCCUUUUAAAUAAUUCCUUAAUCUCUUUGCUGAUCAGAUGUAAUACUCGUUUUCUUCAUAGGCAGUUACUCAAAUAAUUAUUUAUUGCCUAUUUAUUGAUUGCCAACUCUCUGAAUCGGCCUUCCCUAGAGCGUAGCCAAAAGGUUGACAGCAGAUCAGGGACAACGAUCAAAAAUUGCAAAACUGGGACAAGUACCAGUACUAAAAAUAAAAAGCCAAAGAGCGGAAAAACAAAAACAGAUCCCACAAAACGUUUGUAAACUGCCCAGAGUCGCCUCUAGACUUGAUGGGUGGCACACAAAUCUAAUAAGUAAAAUGAAAAUGUAUGACUAUAUUUAAAGGGACAGCUUAGUCUAGUGCAGGGGUCGGCAACCUUAAACGCUCAAAGAGCCACAAAGGUCCUAACUGGAAGCCUCCCGUUCAAUUCUGGAGCCAACUGGAAGUCCAGUUCCCCCACCAUAGAGUCUCCUCCUAGCACGGCAUCCUUUUUCAUCUACUUGUUUUAACUGAAAGCCCUAUCAAUUGUGGAACUGACCAGCAACAAGGAGCCAUAGCAGAGGGAUGAAAGAGCCACAUGUGGCUCCAGAGCUGCGGAUUGCUGACCCCUGGUUUAGUGGUUAAAGUGCUGAACCAGGAGACACAGUGACUAGGAACCGAGUUGGAGAGAUGAGAAUCAGCAGUUUCCACGCUUGAGAGGAUGAUUAAGUCAACAAUCCCAGCUGUCUCCCACAGCCCUGAAGAGAAAAUAGCAAAUAGCUAUUGACUCAGGAGGUCCAGAGACUCAAAUCGAAGCCCCUGAAACACAAGCCUGGGCUUUGACUGGUGUUUAAUGUGGCAUUUAGAUCUUCUAGUAUAUUUUCUAAGGCUUUAUUGUAGUCUGCAAUAUAGAUAAGUAUCUGGCCA